rnacentral:lncRNA from 1 species
AUGCCAACAAUCAAUUUGUAGUUUGAAAUAUUUUCGGGAGUGUUUAUUGUUCAACAUUUUAUUUAUGUUUUUUGUUUUAUAGAAAUUUUAGUUUUGGUAUUAGUAUUCGGGUAUUACUCGAUUAAACGGGAAACUCGUAAAUAGGUGGGGAAGAUUUUUAUAUUAUGCCCGUUUAGAUAAAGCGGGUGGGUAUGAAUAAAAAGGAUGAUAA